UACGAAGGGUGCAAACGUUGCUCGGAAUUAUUGGGCGUAAAGCGCACGUAGGCGGAUCGUUAAGUCGGGGGUGAAAUCCUGGAGCUCAACUCCAGAACUGCCUUCGAUACUGGCGAUCUCGAGUUCGGGAGAGGUGAGUGGAACUGCGAGUGUAGAGGUGAAAUUCGUAGAUAUUCGCAAGAACACCAGUGGCGAAGGCGGCUCACUGGCCCGAUACUGACGCUGAGGUGCGAAAGCGUGGGGAGCAAACAGG
rnacentral:rRNA from 1 species